CGUAGGUGGCAAGCGUUGUCCGGAUUUAUUGGGCGUAAAGCGAGCGCAGGCGGUUUCUUAAGUCUGAUGUGAAAGCCCCCCGGCUCAACCGGGGGAGGGUCAUUGGAAACUGGGAGACUUGAGUGCAGAAGAGGAGAGUGGAAUUCCAUGUGUAGCGGUGAAAUGCGUAGAUAUAUGGAGGAACACCAGUGGCGAAGGCGGCUCUCUGGUCUGUAACUGACGCUGAGGCUCGAAAGCGUGGGGAGCAA
rnacentral:rRNA from 1 species